rnacentral:lncRNA from 1 species
UUUUUUUGUACAUUUUGGCUGCAGUAUUGGUGGUAGAAUAUACUAUAAUAUGGAUCAUCUCUACUUCUGUAUUUAUUUAUUUAUUACUAGACCUCAACCACAGUCUUCUUUUUCCCCUUCCACCUCUCUUUGCCUGUAGGAUGUACUGUAUGUAGUCAUGCACUUUGUAUUAAUAUAUUAGAAAUCUACAGAUCUGUUUUGUACUUUUUAUACUGUUGGAUACUUAUAAUCAAAACUUUUACUAGGGUAU